UAGCAUAGAAAUGAUGAGGAGAUUAGUCCUUUUCUUUUUUAGUUAGGUGGUUUUUUUUAUUUAUCCAAAUGCAGUUCUAACCUUUUUAAUGAGUAAACUUUGCUUCCUUAUCUCUAUAAAUUCCAGCAGUAUAUCAUGGACAUGGAUACAGCUAUAACCCCAUGGAAUUGGAUUCUUCUUUUUAAUUGAUUACAGAAAUUGGUAAAACAGCAAGACAUCCAAUAAGGCAGGGCACUUGUUAGUUGUUAAGACUUAAAGAGUGAAUAUAACGAAGAAUUUUAGUAUGUAUUUGGGCUAAGCCCGUGUGCUUGUAUAUACUUAACCUAGUAAUAUAAAUAAGAGGGUCACUAGACUCACUACACAUUGUAGUGUAAUGAAUCAGUUAGAGUUUACUCACAUGCUUCUCUCCAGCACCACGAAUGGCAUGUUGAGACUCUCAGUAGAUGCUCACACAGAGAUUAUUGCGCAGGCCUAAACUACAAGUAGUUUCACUCAGUUGCGGCUAUCCAACUAGCCACUGGACAGCAGGGUAUUUUCCCGAGGGCGAUUGUUCACCAAACGGUAUUUUAAUGGUGUUAGGGGAAUGUAAUAGAUGACAUAUUUCAAAUAUUAUUGCACUAGUUUUGUUAAGCAUUUGGAUGGACAGGCUGUUAUCUAAUUUUACAUUUACUACUACAUGAUGUUUCAGUAGUGUCUGCUUGGCCUUCUAAAAACAUUAACUGUGAUAUUGAUAACUCAUCAAGUAGAGUUUUUACCUGAUGCUGAUCAAAUAUUAGUUUGUGACUAAUAUUUUACAUGCUAAUGAAUUCAAAUAUCGGUAUUUCUCUCUUGCUUGCUAUUUGUGUAGGUCAUUAGAAAAGGAAGGAUAACUCUACCAGGAAAAUACAAUGUCAUUCUCAGGUCAGACACUGAUAUUAUGGAACUUGUAGGUGCACAUAGAGAAGAUUUGUCUUCAGUCAUGUCCUCAAAGAGAAUGCCCACAUUUAAAACAUUGAGUAUCACCACAAAGGACACAGAUUCACUGAGGGAUUUAGAACUUGAGCCAAAAGUGAGAAGUAGGAUGAGCAUCGUGAUAUGUCAGAUCUUCAGUUGAGCCAAAAGGCCAACAUAGAUAGAUAUUCCUAACCCCGAUUUUACAGUGCUAGUGCAAUUGCAAGAAUGGCUGAAUUUCAGAUUGGAUAUUUUAUGCACUAUCACAUUUGCCUUCUAUUUGGUUGUCGUUAUAUCUUUUCCAAAUUCAAUUACUGCUCCUGGAUUGGCUAUAACAGAUGGGCUUAAUCUAGUCUAAAUGGACUACAAUUUAGUUAAAUGUGGUGUCUUUGCAAUUUGGGGAACAAAAUUAAUCCGAUUAAAGAAUACUUCAGCAUACCUCCAUCUCAAGUGAAGCUCCUCUAGUAGUAAAGGACAACCAACCAGAUUAUUCGUGGCCGUCAUCUGGAGAGGUUCAUAUCCAGGAUUUACAGGUAUUCUUAUCAGUUAUCAUCAUGAGUUUUUGCGGUUAAUGAGAAUGGAAAAAAUUGGAGUAUGGGUCAAAGGUAGAUAAUACUAUUCAGCAAACAGUGAAGCAACAUUUUUCAGAAUGCAGAAUCAUUACCAUUGCUAAUAGAACUUCAAUCUUGGAUUGCAUAACAUCGUUCUGUUUCUAAAAUUAAGGGCUUAUUGAUGAGUAUGAUUCACCAAAGAAAUUGCUUAAGAACAAAUCUUCAUCUCUUGCUCAAUAAGUUGCAGCAUACACAAGGAGAUCAAACUCUGGUUUUGGAAGUUUUUUUUUUAUGUAUGGGUUUUGGAAGUUAAACUGAUAUGAAUUGAAAAUUAGUCUGGAACCAGAUGCCUCCUUACUAAUUUCAUGUGAGUGUGUCACUUGUGUAAACAUGGUGAAAGAAGAAAUAUAUUUUAGAUUAUUUGUCA